UCAGCAGGGAGGCCAAGACAGCUGAAAUCCAGCUCUGCUGCAAGGAGCAGACACAGCCACCAUGUUACUAACUAUGGGCUGCCUCCAUGGUGCUGCUGACCCACAGGAGCCACGAGGAGAAGCCUGGAGGGAGCAGGGGCAGUGAUCUGCACCUCAGGAAAAGCAAGCAAUCACAGGACUUCUCAGCACACCCCCCACCCUCUCCCUGUCCCUCCACCUCCUGAACUAUUUGAUCCAUGUAAGAAUCCAGCUGUGAGUGAAUGCAGGCAGGUGUAAAGCCCGGUCCUAAUCCCCUGGCUGUGUACCCGGGUUCCUGUGGUAUACUUUGAACAUGUGCUUCAGAUCAUCGUUUCAGUAGGCCUUAAAAUGUGGCUGAGCCUGAGGACUCUUCAAGACAGCAGGUGUCUGUUCAGCAGGGUUGGAUUUUGGUGCAUUCUGCUGUAGGCGGCUCGUGGAGGGAUGCAGAGAAGUUCAAGCUGUAUUUGUUGUUCUCCUGAAGCGCAGUGCAGCAGGUGAAGCAAUACCCAUCUGCAAAGGGCUUUUUUCAGCCUUGCUUGGAAUAGAGCUUCAAGAAAUGCAAUUGAAACAUGUUAGAACUUCGCUUAGGAGAAGUCUGCACUACAUCUAAGAACACUGGAUUUCAGCCCUUUCUUGAUGUUUCCAUGGCCGCGGUUAGUGGGAUGAAGUCUUUCUUCGUGGCAGAAUGACACGAGACAGAUUUACAUCUUUAAAGAUCCUUGCUGUUGUCUGAACUGCUUUGCAUACAAAGGAGACCUAACUUGAAGGGUUCAGCUGGUGAAUGUGAAGGGUUUACAGUGCUGGAUCAGGUCUCCAUUCACCACCAGCCUCAGAGGGAACUCUGCUCUGGACUGAUAGAGCACAGGGAGGUGAUGCUGUUUCUGAGAGACAGGCUGCAGCACACAGGACCCAGCCAGCCUGCCUCCGUCCUGCCCAGGACAGCCAGGUUUUGACUGCCAGUGUUCCGUGGUGCUGUGGAUUUGCCAGGUUGUACACAGCUCUGAAGUUGCAUGCGUGUCUCCUAUGGAUCAUACAGCACCAGACUGGUUGCAUGGAGGGUGAUAGUACUGACAGUACAGUAAAGGUCUGUCCUGCAUCUUAAGACACUGCUUGUGAUAACUCUGCAGAGCUCUUCUCCCACCUCCAUGGUCUGUUUGUCUCCAAAUUGUCAAGGGCCAGAGAAAGGCAGCAGAAAGCCAAACAAGCUGGUCUCUGUCACUCCAGUGCCUUUUGGUAUUGGUCCAUGGAUAGUCUACCAUGGAGAUGUUUGUCCUUCUAUUCCUUUUCACUGGGCCUCUCUGUCUGAUUGACCACGUUUCUUCUUGAAAUGGGCACUUUCUGCCCCACCUUUACCAAUGUGCUUUGUUGAGUAAGUGGAAGAAAUUGUGAUGAGGACUUGCUGACCCCAGCCUCUUUCAAGCUGUAUGGGAAGGCCCCUUAAGAAAAGUUUUUGUGUGAUAUUUUCAGCUUAACUUUGCAAAUCCACAAAAGCCUGGAAAAGACUGGUUGGCAGCCAAGCCUUGUGCAUCUAUAAAUCUGCCUGUAUUCUCCCUGUGGGUUUGCCUGUCCAUGGAACAAACCACAAGGGCGUUGCUUAUGAUGUUACAGAGAUAAGAGAAGUUCUCAACCCAGAGGGAGAUCCCAGGAGCCUUGAAACAGUUUGGAUCCUUGUCUAAAGCAUGAGGAAAGCCUGUUUCUCUACAGCAGAUGUGGCUGUGUCCUGAAAUCCGAGGACUAGAAAAAUACCUGCAUUCUGUUUAGUCUCUAAGGUAUCACAGAUUCAGAAAAAUACUUAGAGGUCUUCCAAGAAUGCAUUUGUAGGUUUGGGUGUGCAAGCCUGUAAAAGCGUUCAGUUGUCUAGCAAUGGUAGCCUAUGCAGAUAAAGCUUUAUCUUUGACUUGAAGGGCUGCUUUAAAAAUUGUUAUUCCUCCACUGAAGCUGGAAGAAAAGAGAAUGAGUGCUGUGAUCCUGUCAGCUGUGCAGUAAGUGCCUGAUGACACAAAGGCUCUGGAGGGACAUCCUGCACCUGGCAACUCUGCAGUAGGUGUUAAAUGCAGAACUACUGAUGGUAAGUUGCUUCUGCUGCUGCUUAUUGUGGAGGCAGAACCCAACACAAAACAUCCUCCUUUCUUGAGCUGGGUUUGUUUAAGUUCUUGGUGAUCUCUUAGGUAGCAUGUUAAUGUUUUUUUGGUUCUGCUGUGACCCUGCAGCAGCAUUAGAGAGAAUUACACUCUACAGCAAACAAGUCAUUUUGGCCUUUCAGAGAGGGUAAUGACUCUUUGAGAUCCCUCAGUUGUAUUUUUCUCAUUGGCAAAUAAUUGGACCAGGUAUUUCUUUUGUUAUUUAUUAUAAUGAAAAAUAUAUGUCUGCCUGCUCACCAGGUGGUUCGCUCACUCAGGUGCUUAUUAGCACUUUGCAAUUGGUUGAAACGUCUCUUUUCUCUUCUGAAAAACAGUAGAUCAGAAACUCAGACCACCUCCUGGGAUCUGAGUGCCAGCAGUGCCAGCUCACAGAUACCCGCCGUUACACAUGUUAGAGUUUUCCUUUAUUGGCUAGUGCUUCUUACCUGCCUGUUGAUGUGUGUGAGGAAGAGGGCUGGCUCAUUCUGAUGCUGCUGACAAGAUGCCCACCUUGGCUGCUGGUCCCACUCCUAUUCCUACCAGUUGCUCUUGGUGUUGUUGGGGAUCUUCCUGUUCUGCUGUUGGUGCAUCCCCAGAAUAGGGGGAGGAGAACACCACCAGUAUCCUGGUGUGUGUUGCAGUGUGACAGAUGGCAGCAGAGGGGCAGUCUGACAGAACGAUGUCUGACAUGGAAGUGCAUAUGGAGCAAAGGAGUGUCAUUGAAUUCCUCCGUAUGCUGUCUCAGCACAUGAGAGAACUGCUUUUUGAAGGCUAAGUGGAUCCUCAGCCAGGACCACGGCUUUGCUGAGUCCCCAGAAACCUGCUUCCUUCGGGAUAAGCAGCAGCAAAAGAAUGGGGUGGGAUCUAGGACUGGUGCUUGCACCUCAGCCUGCCUCCAUGCUUUCCAAGGGUGCCCUCUUCACAUCUGCUUUUUGGGCUGGGAACCCCUCUGCAUCACCUGGGCUGCCCAUACCUCUUCCCAAAGCCUUCUACAUGGCUGCCACCAUUUGUCCCCUCCCAGAGGCAUGCUCGUGCUGCACACUGCCCAGCUGCACUGGUUGAUGUAGUAAAUGGAAGAGGAAGCUGUUUGGCUUUCAGAGUAUUGUUUACUUAUAUGAGGCCUAACAAACAUGGAUGUUAAGGCCCCCUAGGGGGUCUUUCUUAUGAUGCUGGGGCCUAUUGGAUUAGGCAAAUGAGAGCCAGAGAUUUGCCUAAUAGCUUGACAGGCCAUGAGGGAUUAGACUCGUGGGCUGGUGUAAACGUGUGGUACAGAGGUGCUGUGGUGUGGAUCUCUUCUUAGCCAUGGCUAAAUGCCUUGUCAAUGUGGGUUAAUCUUGUUUGCCUUGUCUUCCAUAAUGCUGCUUUACAGGACACAGCCUCCACCAAUUUAAUCACUGCAGAAUGGAACGGUAGGCUUUUGUUGUGUGUGUGCACCUCCUGCCUUACACAGCACUUACAGCAUUACAGGCAUCAGUAAUUAACAGCAGUUUUUAGAUGGCAUUGGUUCCAGCUCCCUAAGUAGUUGCUCCUUCAGGACCAAAGGUUCCAUUCCAUUGGUUGAAGGCAGCUCCCUCUGUAGAGGUCCCACCACUAUCCCUGUACUGCAGAUCUGCUGCUCCACACUCCUUUAUCAAACACUUCCAUGAACUAUGUGCACAUCCCCAGGCAACACAGCAGCUCCUUCUCCUGAGCAGGGAUCCCGCUGUGUUGCAUUGCUGUGCUCAGGAGCUCUGUGAUGCCCAUGGGAUGCACCCAGAGUGGUGGGUGCCUCACUGGAGAGCAUAAAUGAAACUGGGAGUGGGUGGUGCCCACCCUCAAAAGCAGUUGGCAGUGCUGAACUGAAGUGCCAGGGCUGUGACAGGGUUGUUAAUGUAGCGCAGGUGGGAUGCCUCUGUUCCUUGGUCCCCUUUGGUUCCCAUUUCCCUUUGCUUGUUCUGACAGGGUUCAGUGCUGUCGGUGCUCAGGGUUCACAGAGCAUUAAGGCUAUUGUGGGGCCUCCCACAGAUGGAAGACUUCUGCUCACAGCCAACUCGGAGAAGAGCAGGUACCUCUGCUUCACUAGGUUUGUCUCUCUCCUCAUCUUCUGCCCCGACUUCCUUACGCCUACAGCAAAAGCCUGGCAGAACUGGGUCCAGCACAGGAGCUGGGCCCCAAAUGCUCACAGCCACUGGAAUGUGCAGCCACAAGUCUUCCUUGCCAGAUGCUUUUUGGAGCUGUGGGAGCCAGAGAAGUUCACUGCAGGUGUUCCCCAGCACAGAGGCAGCCUCCUCCGAGGUGAUUAGCAUCUGCAAGGCGCUGACAGGGACAGUGCAGGUGGGAGGAAAAGCUCCCAUUUGCCCCACAGUGGGCAGCCUCUUUCUCAGUUGUGCAAAUUGCCCAUGCAUGGAGCUGGAAGCUCAGACUGCUGCCCAAAAAGCCCAGCAACUACUAACUCUGCUCUGCUCUUCGCUGGAUGGGUGGCAGAGCCACAAGGAGUAGGCAGAGGGACAGGGUGAUGCCUGUCAGCAGUGCAAGGUGGCAGCUUCCCAUCUGCUGCCUGUGCUCGUGUGCUAAUGGCAACCACCUGGGCUCAAGACCAGCUGAGAUGGUGGGGUGAAAAAAGGCUCUGGGUUUGGGCCUGAUGCCUUCAGUCAGCCAGUAGAGGAAAGCUGCAGGUGAGACAGCAUCCAGUCUUCUUGUGUGAAUAAAAAGGGCUGCUGAGCAGUGGGGUAACACUGAGGCUUGCCAAUUGCAUGUAGUAUGGUCUUCUGUCCCAUUCAAGCAGGAGCUGGGUCAGGUAAAGUCUUUUUUUGGUUGUUCCUCCAUGUGAAGCACCAUCUGUCUCUCACCCAAUUAUCUGUGCCUUCCUUUCCUUACAGGUGGGGGGAAGUUUAAAAUCAUCACGUGAGCAAAAAGGAGAAAAGCUGUUGGGAGAGUGUGCGGUGGGGGAUUUUCCCUCUGUGCUGCCUUCAUUGCCUCCUUGGCUCUGCUGCUCCCACACCACAACACCCAACUCUGGGCAGAACGAUGCUGGAAACCAAGAGCUGGCUGGCAGAGCCAGAACACACCAGGAUAUUCAUGACAUGGCCUCAGAAGACCCUGUGCUAACUUCUAAAUUGUGGAGCAGGACUUGGCAGAGUGAAGUACAACCGAGGUUUUGGAUGGGAGCACUGAGAGCAGUAAAAUGCAAAAGAAUGGUUGAAAACCAAAGGGGAAGAAUAUCAGAGAGAAUGAACAGUGAGGGAUUUAAACGAACCUGCCUUCCUCUGAGGGAUCUGGAAAUGCAACCAAGUUUCAUCGGGGAGAAUACAGGAAAGAAACACUGCAGUCUAUAAAGGCCUGGAUUUUUAACCACACAUCAAUGAUGAUUCAGGCAUCCUCCCCAGAGAGAGAAAAUCCAUUGGUGAAUGUUGGUGAAAUCCUGGAUUUAUGACACACAGCUCUGGCCAAGACAUCCUUUGGCUUGGCUAUAUGAAGAACAUUGGGAAUGGUGAGGAAAGCUGCUUGUCGAGCUUUUCAUGUGGUUUCCAUGGCUGGAAAAGUGUGGCUGGGUUCCCUGCCUCCUUGUAAGUGGUCAAAAGAGCUCUUUCAAUUAAAGUGGGGUUUGAAGUCUCAGGUAUGUUCCAGGAAACCAGUGUGGCAGGGAGGGAGACCAGACUGUGCAGCAUACAGCUCUGCGAGCUGGCUUGUGUUGUUUGAGGGUCUUUGCAAUGGGCUGGCUGAGAAAUCCUGAUGCUGGCAGCCCUUUACUCACUACAAGCCCCGAGGUGCAAGUAAGAGGCUGUAUGGAUGCCUUGGUGAUGCACACACCUGCUGAGCUGCUUUUGUCUGCUCUGGUUUAGUUCUGCUGCCAAAUGCAACACGUGCUGAUUUGCUUCCAACAGGCAGAGUUCAUUCCUCUGGUUCCUUACUAAGGCACUUCAAUGCAAACCCCAUCAAGGUACUUGGAGAGCUGAUCAGUGUUUUCUGGUCCUUGGUGAACACUGCUCUCCAUCUGUGGGUAAUAAGUGGAAUCUAUGAGCUGAAACAGCAUGCACAGCUAGAUAUGUUGGGAGAGGGAAGUCCAAAAGCGCAUCAAUUCAGGAAACAUGAGCAGCUCUACAGAAACAAAAGUGGCAUCCUCCAGAGUGCACAGGCAGUAUCUCUGCCUCUGGCAGCUACAAGCAGCCGAGGGAGUUGUGCUUAUCCCCUUCUCCUUGCACCCCACUCUGUCCAUGCUCCCAUGUACCCCAUGCUGGACACAUCUAAGUGCCAGCACCAGUGAUAGCUCCUGCAGCCCUGUGCUGUCCCUGCUCUUCUAAUAGUUAGAGCUAUUCCAGUGCAUUUGCUGCUCUCAGUGUCUUUGGAUUUUUUUUCUUCUGAUCACUCCCAGUCCUCAUGCCCCUGGCUGGCCCUGCUGGUGAGCGGGUCAACCCGAGCAGUUUCUCUGCUGACCUCAGGCUGGGGUUGCUCUUAGUCAUGCUCCUCUAACUUUGCUUUCCUUCCUGCUCCUCCUGGCCACACACGCAGUCUGAUUUGUUCUAAGUGCCUUCCACGAAGAAGCAGGGAGAUGUGUUUUAUCCAGCUCUCAGACACAAAGUCAGCAGGUUACUUGGCCGCCCAAGUCCAGCUUUCUUGUACUCCCUGGCAGCACAGGACAGACUGGACAUGCCAUUUCUUAAGCACAGCACAAUGCCCUUUUGUGCAGUGUUCCUGAGCUGGCCAGGUUGGGUUUUGUUUCACAAAGCCUCUUUAAAUUCAAUUUUUCCACCAUGGAAUUACGAAGAAAAAGAUUUCUUUCUUCCUUCAUCAAACCUUAGCCCAGGUUUGUUCAUAACAGGUCUGUGAUCCUACAGCUAGGUUUCAGCUUUGUAAAUAAACCUGUAACCUCGGCAUCCCAGGCGUUUUGUAAUCAAAUUUGUGCAUAACAACACUAUAAUUUCAGGCCUAGAGAGAGAAGAUGGUGCUGGGAGGCCAGAGGAUCACCUUUUAUUCCAGCAUCGUCUGCAAGCUGUGUGUAGAAAAUUACUUCAUUGCCCUGUUUGCAGUUUCCUCAUUUGUCAAGUGGCACCAAGCGGUUGAGAGAUGUCUCAGGAAUGGUGUAAACCUCUCCCCACAUUUCCAGAGUGCCUGAGGUCCUUUCAUAAAGAGGAUGAGAGAAGUGAGUGGGAUGGAGGGAGUUUCCUCUGGAAAGGGGAAUCCAGAAUGAGAAACACAUUCAGCCACUGCAAACAGCAGAAACACAUACGCUUUGACUGCAGGAGCCAGACCAUGCGUGCCUCACAUGUGCAGCUGCCCAGAUUUAUGGCCUGUUAUCCUCCUGGCAAUUACUGGAUUGUACCGUAGGGAUCUGCAUGGGCGAUGCGCAGGUUGCCCACACAGCCUGGCCUUCUGAGAAAUGACACGGCGUGCGCCAUGUGCUGCGGCCAGCAGCAGCUGUGCUGGAAAACCACCACGGAGGAAAUCACAAGUUAGUGAGUCACCGAGACUGCUGCCAGCCUGUCAGGAGACUCUCCAUAACUCAGCUUUCAUGUGCUUGUACUUCUGUUCUAAAGCAGGCUCAGAUGCCACCUUGAAGAGCAGAACAGCUUCUAGCAGGUGGGAAGAAGGACCUGGUUUUUCAUUCUCCAAUCCCAAAUGUAGGCCAUGUAAGAUGCUGUCCCUGGGCUCUCUUGUGUGAUGGCUGGGCUUUACUCCCCAGAGUUGCCUGGCAAAGCUGGAGCUGGUGAGAAUCAAAGCCAAAGCUGCUCCUUGGUCUCAGUCAUGAAAAACUGACCCUAAGAAACACAGCCAGGAGUUUCCUCUGACCGUAGAGAAUCGCAGUGAUGAGAUGAGCUAUUUGAGAAGAUGCGUGCUUGAGCCGAGUGGGACACAGGGGGAUCUGGGUGAGAAGGGACCCCUUGGAAGGAUCUUGGGUCUUGAAUGUGUUUUGUUUAAUGUCGAGCACUUGAACCAUGUGAGACCCCAAGGGCCGGCACUGUUUGCACGCUGCCCACAUGCCCAAGUGCCCUGUGAUGCUGCUGAGCAGGAGCUUUCCAAAACAAAACCUCUCCCAGCAGGAGCCAAUACUGUCUCUGUACAGGCAGUUUGGGGUUCCUUGCAAAUAACAUGCCACGCUUGUCCCAUGUCCCCAGUGUCCAGCCCAUCCCCAAGCCAGGCAGUCACUUAUCAACAGUUUGGAUGAUUCCUUGUUAUUACUCCAGAGCUCUUGGGCUUGCAAAGCUAGACAGGAAAUAUUGUAGAAAUGGUUUUUCCUGUCCGAAAUGCAGCCAGGCCCUUUCUGAGGGCUACCUGGAAAUAGCUGGAAGACAAUCUUGGCAAAAAAACUCCCACAGCUUGAGCCCUGGAUAGGAACUGGAAGUUGGGCAAAGAUCUAACCUGGCCUCAGAUCUUAGGAAGUUCUGGGGUAUGCAACAGAGGAUAGAAGCACAAGUACUGCCCCGCUGCUUUAAGCUGGCUUUUCUAGUGAACCUGAGUGACAGACUAACCCAGCUCCCCUUAUAUCUAGGACAUGAGCCUGAGCCCCACUCACCUCGUCUGGAACCCCCCCACCCAUGACCCUGGCCUUGUCCACUCCUGUCUUUCCUGCUCCUGUGGAAAACCAGUUUCAUUUCCUCAUGUAAUUGUUCUUUCUCCAUCCUGAACUCAGGCUUUUCAGCAGUUUGUUGUUCUGCUUCCCUUUCAGCUCCUCUCUCUGGAUGUGAAGGUUUGUCUUUUUGCCCAAUAAAACCAAAGCAGCCUUCAAAUUGCUCCCCAAACUCCUGCCUAUGGUCUGACACCAAGAGGUAAAUCUUGUUCCAAUUGCAGUCAGCCCUAUGGAGGCUGCUGGUUGUUGCUGGCUUUCCCGCUGGAAAAUGUUGCAUGACUGAUGAACAAAAGUCUUGGAGGUUUCAGCCAUUUGGCUCCAGUACUGUACCAAGCACGCAAAAUCACCCACUGCAUUAAGUCCAACCUAAGCAAAGCAAACUGCAGCCUCCAUGAUUAAUAUUUGAAGCCACAGAGAGGAAGGAAAAAACAAGAGUUCUGACCUGAAUGGUAUCUGAAGUUGAAAAACGCCCAGCAUUCAGCCUUCAAGAGCACUUUUGAAACCUCCCGUAGAGAAAAUAAUUAAAGAGAUGAAAGAUACAGUGACUGAUAGUAAUAAAUCACGUGCAGCUGUCUUUGCCCUCUCAGCAAACGUAAAUCACUUUUGCCUUUAAAAUAUGGCAGCAAGCAUUCUUCCCAGAUUGCUUUGAAUUUAUUAGACAAGGUCAUUAGAAAUGUAUUAGGGCAAAAUCUGAAUUUAUUAACUGAGUUACUUAAUAGCUUAAUUGCUCAGCUAGCACCAGCUCUGCGCUGCCUGGUUGGGAGCAGGAGGGAAGAGGGAAGGUGUGUCACCCAUCACCGCACCCCGCUGCCCGGCCCUGCAGAGACCCUGUGUGCUCCACGGGGUCUGGUUUGACACUUCCUAAUUAGCAGCAGGCAGAUGUGUUUGUCUCCACAGUAAUUGGCUUAACGUUGGCCAGGGUGUCUUUUGAGAAGGAAAAAUUUUGUAGGGGCUGCAGCUGGACCAUACCAGAUCUUGACAUGGGCUUUUUUGUGCAUGAGUCUUUAGGGGUGGUCAUGAAGAAUCAUAGAACUGUUUGAGUUGGAAGGGACCCUCAAAGGCCAUCUGGUCCAACCCCAUGCAAUGAACACGGACACCUACAGCUCCAUCAGGUGCUCAGAGCCCCAUCCCCAUUAACCCCAGGUGUUAACACAAGAAAGAGUGGAGAUGACUCCUGCUGAAGUCACUGGGUAUUUUGCAUUGUAGCAGAUGCCAUCAGACCCCCAGAUCUUUCACUGAUGUAUGCUUUCUCUUUCUCCCCAAUGAUAGGUAGCUCCAGAGUAAGGAAGAAAGUGAGAGGUGAAAACAUGAAGUUAAUGACUGCAGUGACAAACUUUACUGCAGCAACUUUAUGGGGGGAAAAAUGUCUCGCAAUCUUUGCUGCACAACAAUGUCCCGACAGACAUGAUGUCAUUGCGUCUUAAAAGGUGUUUGAGUUGGAAAAUCCUUUCUGCGGUGUUUUAAGGAGCUGUUUAAAUGAUUAAUAAGGUUUAUGCGUGUGAUUUAUUAUCUCAGAAUAGAAAUGUACAGUAGGUAUAAAAUGUAUUUGAAAGGGACGACUGUGUUUAUUCAUGGUACAGGUGUUAUAUUCCCAGACAUGUAUCAAAAUAAACAUGCUUAGCUGGAAGAGAAGCAUGAGGCAUCUGGCAGCACAUCUGCCUGCACGUGCCCUGACAGUCUGUGGCGGGAGGAAGGAGUGGGUGGGCAGAAUGUUGGUUUGGACUCAUGCAACUCAUCAACUCAUGCAAACAUGAGAUUUCACCUGCACUCGCUGCUCACUGUAUCACCCAGAGUGUAUUCAAUGUGUCUUGUGAUUAAGCACAUGAAUUAAAGCUAUGUAAGUGUUGUUUAUUAUUGCA